CGGUGUAUCGGUUGACCAUGAAAAAACCCAUUUUUUAAUUUAAUAGCAAAUUUUGCCCGUUGCAUAUGAAAUUUGGUGAUAUCACGAGUUUUUAUUACCAAACACGAGUUCGUGUUUUAUUAAAUGUUUGGUUUUGUCUUUUUUUUUUUCUUUUUUGGGUUCAGAACCUAACACUUGAAUGAUAUAACGCGGUUGAGUGUUAGACUUUACUAAAACAAAUGUUCUUUUUGUUUUUGUAAUUGUUGUAGUUGUCACAAAAUUGGAUAGAACGAUUCGGUGCAGUGGUUGAUAGCGAAUUUGUAGUUUGAUUCGGUGCAAUUUCAUUUGGGUAAACAUUUUUUUUAAUUUCAGUUUUGGUGAAAGUGCAACAAAAACAAAUUAGAUUCAUUUACAAAUCUAUUUUCAUUUGAUUUUAAUACGUAUUAGACUUGCACAUGAAAAUUUUGGAUCUUUAGA
rnacentral:lncRNA from 1 species